UGGGGACGCUCGAAAAGGGUCCGAGGUGUACCGGAAAUGUUUUGGUAGUAUGCUAUUACUUCAUGUAAACAGGGCGUUAAGGAUAAACCACUAGGCCCUGUAAAUAAUAAAAGUAAAUGACAUGGAUUCGUAAAUUUCCAAGACGUCAUUGGUGAUAUUCACUAGCCAUCGACCGGAAGUUCCGCUUAUAAGCCCAAUACGACUGGAGUAAUGUGAUACAUCAGCUUGAUCAACCAGAUACCUGUAGAUUUUGUAGAUAAAAUAACGUUUACCAUUGUUUUGGUGAAAUUGAAACUAUUAGAGGAGUUUAUGGGGGUGGUGGAGGCGGUGUAGAGAUAAAUUAAUGCAAUCACUGUGCAGGUUGCAAAAUGCAGUCUUAAUAGACUCAUUAUGAACUUUUGACUUUGUAACUAAACAUUUUGAGGUUAUGUUACAAAUUCUAAUGAUAAUAGCUGUAUUCUUAGGUUAGUUUUGUACUCACGAGAAAACCAGUUCCAUUUGAUACUGUGUAUAACUAUGAUCUGCGAUUAUAAUCACUUCUAAACGUUUUUGAACUCCCA